GUGUCAGCAGCCGCGGUAAUACGAGGGGUGCAAGCGUUGCUCGGAAUUAUUGGGCGUAAAGGGUAGGUAGGUGGUCUCAUUUGUCUGGGGUGAAAGCCUUGGGCUUAACUCAAGAAGUGCCCCAGAAACGGUGAGACUGGAGUCCUGGAGAGGGUCGUGGAAUUCCCGGUGUAGCGGUGAAAUGCGUAGAGAUCGGGAGGAACACCAGAGGCGAAGGCGGCGACCUGGACAGGCACUGACACUCAACUACGAAAGCGUGGGGAGCAAACAGGAUUAGAUACCCUGGUAGUCCACGCCGUAAACGAUGGGUACUAGAUUAGGUGGGUCUUGACCCCUGCCGAAUCGGCGCUAACGCACUAAGUACCCCGCCUGGGAAGUACGGUCGCAAGACUAAA
rnacentral:rRNA from 1 species